AUUUGGAGGAACAACCCCCCUUGAAGAAAAAGGUUUUCGCUUGUAAACUUCUUUUUUAAAGAAGAACGGGGGUAAGAGUAACUGUUUACCCAGUGACGGUAUUUAACCAGAAAGCCACGGCUAACUACGUGCCAGCAGCCGCGGUAAUACGUAGGUGGCAAGCGUUAUCCGGAUUUAUUGGGCGUAAAGCGAGCGCAGGCGGUCUUUUAAGUCUAAUGUGAAAGCCUUCGGCUCAACCGAAGAAGUGCAUUGGAAACUGGGAGACUUGAGUGCAGAAGAGGACAGUGGAACUCCAUGUGUAGCGGUGAAAUGCGUAGAUAUAUGGAAGAACACCAGUGGCGAAGGCGGCUGUCUGGUCUGCAACUGACGCUGAGGCUCGAAAGCAUGGGUAGCGAACAGGAUUAGAUACCCUGGUAGUCCAUGCCGUAAACGAUGAUUACUAAGUGUUGGAGGGUUUCCGCCCUUCAGUGCUGCAGCUAACGCAUUAAGUAAUCCGCCUGGGGAGUACGACCGCAAGGUUGAAACUCAAAAGAAUUGACGGGGGCCCGCACAAGCGGUGGAGCAUGUGGUUUAAUUCGAAGCUACGCGAAGAACCUUACCAGGUCUUGACAUCUUCUGACAGUCUAAGAGAUUAGAGGUUCCCUUCGGGGACAGAAUGACAGGUGGUGCAUGGUUGUCGUCAGCUCGUGUCGUGAGAUGUUGGGUUAAGUCCCGCAACGAGCGCAACCCUUAUUACUAGUUGCCAGCAUUAAGUUGGGCACUCUAGUGAGACUGCCGGUGACAAACCGGAGGAAGGUGGGGACGACGUCAAAUCAUCAUGCCCCUUAUGACCUGGGCUACACACGUGCUACAAUGGAUGGUACAACGAGUCGCGAGACCGCGAGGUUAAGCUAAUCUCUUAAAACCAUUCUCAGUUCGGACUGUAGGCUGCAACUCGCCUACACGAAGUCGGAAUCGCUAGUAAUCGCGGAUCAGCAUGCCGCGGUGAAUACGUUCCCGGGCCUUGUACACACCGCCCGUCACACCAUGAGAGUUUGUAACACCCAAAGCCGGUGGGGUAACCUUUUAGGAGCUAGCCGUCUAAGGUGACAGAGAUUGGA
rnacentral:rRNA from 1 species